rnacentral:rRNA from 1 species
AUUGAACGCUGGCGGCAUGCCUUACACAUGCAAGUCGAACGAUGAAACCUAGCUUGCUAGGUCGAUUAGUGGCGAACGGGUGAGUAACACGUGACUAACCUGCCCCUUUCUCUGGGAUAACGCUCCGAAAGGAGUGCUAAUACCGGAUACUCACACCGAGGCACAUGCCUUGGUGUGGAAAGUUUUUCGGCAAGGGAUGGGAGUCGCGGCCUAUCAGCUUGUUGGUGCGGUAACGGCUGACCAAGGCGACGACGGGUAGCCGGCCUGAGAGGGCGAGCGGCCACACGGGGAAUGCGACACGGCCCAGACUCCUACGGGAGGGAGCAGUGGGGAAUAUUGCACAAUGGGCGCAAGCCUGAUGCAGCGACGCCGCGUGAGGGAUGAAGGUCUUCGGAUUGUAAACCUCUUUCAGUAGGGACGAAGCGAAAGUGACGGUACCUAAAGAAGAAGCACCGGCUAACUACGUGCCAGCAGCCGCAGUAA